UGGGGAAUAUUGCACAAUGGGCGCAAGCCUGAUGCAGCCAUGCCGCGUGUAUGAAGAAGGCCUUCGGGUUGUAAAGUACUUUCAGCGGGGAGGAAGGCGAUAAGGUUAAUAACCUUGUCAAUUGACGUUACCCGCAGAAGAAGCACCGGCUAACUCCGUGCCAGCAGCCGCGGUAAUACGGAGGGGGCAAGCGUUAAUCGGAAUUACUGGGCGUAAAGCGCACGCAGGCGGUCUGUCAAGUCGGAUGUGAAAUCCCCGGGCUCAACCUGGGAACUGCAUUCGAAACUGGCAGGCUAGAGUCUUGUAGAGGGGGGUAGAAUUCCAGGUGUAGCGGUGAAAUGCGUAGAGAUCUGGAGGAAUACCGGUGGCGAAGGCGGCCCCCUGGACAAAGACUGACGCUCAGGUGCGAAAGCGUGGGGAGCAAACA
rnacentral:rRNA from 1 species